AAGACUAUACUUUCAGGGAUCACUUCUAUAGUUCAUCACAGAGAAGUUUCUCUGACUGUGUUGAGCAUCGGAAACUGCGAGGAUGUACAUCCCCUCCUGAGCGUGAAGCCGGCUCUAGGUGCUGCUUGAGUGCAGCUGCCUCUUGCCAUUGAUGAUCGUUCUUCUCUCCUUCGGGAGGGCGAGAGGGAGGGACUACAGUCUGAGU